rnacentral:rRNA from 1 species
GACGUACCACCCGAACGUUAUUCGGAUUCACUGGGCUUACAGAGUCCGUAGGCGGUCAAGAAAGUUAGGCGUGAAAUCCCUCAGCUCAACUGAGGAAUAGCGCUUAAAACUACUUGGCUAGAGAGAGUCAGAGGUGAGCGGAACUGAUGGUGGAGCGGUGAAAUGCGUUGAUAUCGUCUGGAACGCCGAAGGUGAAAACAGCUCGCUGGGGCUGCGCUGACGCUGAGACACGAAAGCCAGGGGAGCGAACGGG